GUGGUCCCACAGCCCCUGCACCAGGCGGCCCGCGCCCGCGACCUCAAGGCGGCUGCCCCGCGCCAUGGCGGCCCGGCUGGGUGCGCUGGCCGCGUCGGGGCUGUACCGGCGGCGCCAGCACCGGCAGAGCCCGCCGCCCGCCGCGGGCAAUAUGUCGGACGCCUUGGCCAAUGCCGUGUGCCAGCGCUGCCAGGCCCGCUUCGCCCCCGCCGAGCGCAUUGUCAACAGCAAUGGGGAGCUGUACCAUGAGCAGUGCUUCGUGUGUGCCCAGUGCUUCCGGCCCUUCCCCGAGGGGCUCUUCUAUGAGUUUGAAGGCCGGAAGUACUGCGAACACGACUUCCAAAUGCUGUUUGCUCCGUGCUGCGGAUCCUGCGGUGAGUUCAUCAUCGGCCGUGUCAUCAAGGCCAUGAACAACAACUGGCACCCGGGCUGCUUCCGCUGCGAGCUGUGUGAUGUGGAGCUGGCUGACCUGGGCUUUGUGAAGAAUGCUGGCAGGCAUCUCUGCCGGCCUUGCCACAACCGUGAGAAGGCCAAGGGCCUGGGCAAGUACAUCUGCCAGCGGUGCCACCUGGUCAUCGAUGAGCAGCCCCUCAUGUUCAGGAGCGACGCUUACCACCCUGAUCACUUCAGCUGCACCCACUGUGGGAAGGAGCUGACGGCCGAGGCCCGCGAGCUGAAGGGUGAGCUCUACUGCCUGCCCUGCCAUGACAAGAUGGGCGUCCCCAUCUGUGGGGCCUGCCGCCGGCCCAUUGAAGGCCGAGUGGUCAACGCGCUGGGCAAGCAGUGGCAUGUGGAGCACUUUGUCUGCGCCAAGUGUGAGAAGCCAUUCCUGGGGCACCGGCACUAUGAGAAGAAGGGCCUGGCCUACUGUGAGACUCACUACAACCAGGUGAGCCCGGUGCAGAACCUUCAGGGAUGCGGGUCUGGAGGGGUGGCCAGGAGAGCUGCUGUGAGCAAGGGAGGCUGUGGACACCCCCUCAGGAGCUCUGCCAGGUGCUGAGCCCAGCCUGCACCCUCAGCCCUGGCUCCUGGCCUGGGGUCUCCCAACCUGGGCAGCUCUCUUCAGCCUCAGUGUUUUCCUUUGAAGAAUGUUGUGGGGCUGGUGUGAGGUCCUGGGCACAUGGGGCUGACAGUGCCAGCAACCCCCUCCCUCCCUUGCUCUGGUACAGAAGGCAGGGGGCACUGAUGGGAUGCAGUCACCACCUUGGCCCACCUCCUCGCAGGACAGCAGCAGCCAGAGCAAAGGGGCCUUCUGGGGAGCAGUGCCCCACCCUGUUGUCCUUCCCGGGAGGGUGGUUCUAAUGGGUUGCAGUGCCCUCAACCCAGCCUUGCAGCUGGGCCCUGGGAGGCAGGGCCUGGGAGAUGCCUGAGAGGGGCCAGGCUGGCUGCAUGAUGUCACACCCCAGCCAGGGCCAGGCUGGCUGCAUGAUGGCCCUGGGCUGGGGGGUGACUACCUGCAGCCGCUCUGACAGCCUGCUCGGCCCACAGCUCUUCGGGGACGUCUGCUACAACUGCAGCCAUGUGAUUGAAGGCGAUGUGGUUUCGGCCCUCAACAAGGCCUGGUGUGUGAGCUGCUUCUCCUGCUCCACCUGCAACAGCAAGCUCACCCUGAAGAACAAGUUUGUGGAGUUCGACAUGAAGCCCGUGUGUAAGAGGUGCUACGAGAAGUUCCCGCUGGAGCUGAAGAAGCGGCUGAAGAAGCUGUCAGAGCUGACCUCCCGCAAGGCCCAGCCCAAGGCCGCGGACCUCAACUCUGCCUGAAGGCCCUCUUGCGCAGCCGCCUCUCGGCCCCUCCGCCUUCUCCCCUCCCGCUGUCCAUGCUUGGCCCCCUCGUCCCCGUCCACCUGCGCCCUCUGCAUCUUACGCUCCCCUUCUCUUUCUUCAUUGCCUCCCCCUUUCCUGUUCCCUCAUCUCUGCCUUCCCCCUGUCUCUCCUCUCCUCGGCUGUGGUUUCUGUCUGUGAGGAGGCAGGAGCUGGGGAGUGGGAGCCUAUGACCCCACGUCUGACAGCCACGUCCACCUGUGCCCACAGUUUCUGCCAACAGACCUCCAGGGACAGAAGCAAAUUGCACCACAGCUCCCUGCCUGGCCUGGCCCUCCCCAGGCAGCUCAGUGGCUCAUGCUGUCCUGUGAGAGCCCCUGCCCCAGAGCGGCCCCACUAAGCGCAUGUGGCUCCUGGACUACCUACAGCCAGGGCAGCCUGCUGGAGCCACAGGGCCAGGACCAUGCAGAUGGAGGCCUCUGGGAGCCACCUCCAGUCCCUCACCACUCACUCAACCAGGGGCACAGUGUCCCUGUUCCCACACUGAGCCAGCAAGUCCUGCUGUCCACACCCACAAGCUACCUGGAGGGACAGGACCCACCUCCAUCCCUCGGAAGGUCUUCCUGGAACCCCACCUUGGCCUCCCACCUGGGUUCCGCCCCGCCCCCUCCCCCCGACCUUGGGGCUUGUGUUGAGCCCUUGGGUGGGGCCAGGGGCCAGGAGGUGGUGAGGUCAGAGGAGGUGGGGUCAGAGGUGGCUUUUUCCCACCUCCAGGGAGGACGCUUCCUCUGCGGCCAGCGCAGACCUGGUGUUGGGCUCACGCUUGCACAAUGAAGGCUUCUUCACAC
rnacentral:sRNA from 1 species